rnacentral:rRNA from 1 species
AGUGAACGCUGGCGGCAGGCCUAAUACAUGCAAGUCGAACGGCAGCACAGCAGAGCUUGCUCUGUGGGUGGCGAGUGGCGGACGGGUGAGGAAUACGUGGGAAUCUGCCCAGUCGUGGGGGAUAACGUAGGGAAACUUACGCUAAUACCGCAUGCGCCCUUCGGGGAAAGCCGGGGACCUUCGGGCCUGGCGCGAUUGGAUGAGCCCACGUCGGAUUAGCUAGUUGGCGGGGUAAAGGCCCACCAAGGCGACGAUCCGUAGCUGGUCUGAGAGGAUGAUCAGCCACACUGGAACUGAGACACGGUCCAGACUCCUACGGGAGGCAGCAGUAGGGAAUAUUGGACAAUGGGCGCAAGCCUGAUCCAGCCAUGCCGCGUGAGUGAAGAAGGCCCUCGGGUUGUAAAGGCUCUUUGUCC